rnacentral:rRNA from 1 species
AUGUUUUACACUGCAGGGCUUCCAUUCAAUCUUGCAAGGAACCCUGACUUUAGGGCAGCCAUGACCUUCAUUGCAAACAGCAGCUUGGGUGGGUAUGUGCCUCCAGGAUAUAAUUCAUUGAGGACAACUCUUCUUGAUCAAGAGAAGAAGCAUAUUCAGAGGAGCCUAGAGCCUAUUAAAUCAACAUGGCCUUACACAAGAGUGACCAUUGCGACGAGUGGGUGGUCUGAUCCUCAAAGGCGGCCCAUUCUAAACUUCAUGGCUAUGACAGAAGGUGGUCCAAUGUUCCUAAAAGCAAUUGACACCGAGGGAGAGGUAAAAUCUUUGUACCUACAUAAUUUACUUUGUCUUUUGUUCCUUUUAGUUGCAUAUAUUGCUUGCUGGCUUGUCUUCAUUGCUAGAUUAAAACCAAGGAAUACAUCUUUGAGAAGCUAA